rnacentral:lncRNA from 1 species
GUCUGGGGUACAUAACGUACAACAGGAAAUUAGAUGAACGUACACAACGACACCGACAAUUGGAAUUGGAAGCGAAUGGCAAAUUCGAUCCCAUAAGAGUAGACUCGAUGAACUUCAAUAGCGAGUGGAUGACAGGCAUAGAAGGGGCAUGCGACGAGUUCGUCUACACCGAGGCAGAUGGACUAACAUGGGCGCAGGUGGAGGAAGCUUCAGGAGCUGCUGAACAACCGGGACCGUCAACAAGGAGUGGGCAAACCCGUGGAUAUACCUAUGAAAGACAGAGGACUUCAUUUGCAGAUAUGGGAACUGAAUCCCAAUAUCGUUAUGCCAUGAAUGAAAUUGCGGAAAUUAUCAGAGAGCCUCUAGAUAAUAUAGAUAUGCCAUGAAGUACAUGCUCGUAUAGAUGAUUAGACUUUAGAUAAUGAUUUUGUUUUGGAUGAUUCAAAUAACUUGGAUGUAUUUGUUUUGGAUGUGUAUUUUUAAGAUGAUAGGCAAAAAUUGACAGGUUUAUAUAUAUUUUUUGGGUAAUUAUACAUGUACAGGGUUUUGGAAAAAUUAUAUAUAUAAACAGGGGUAUAUAUGCAAUUUUUAAAAAAAUUGCAAAUAUUUACACAUAUGCCACUACCGCUUUGACCGCUUUAAGCGACGCUAAAGCGGUCAAAGCUGAAAAAGCGCUCCCUGGA